ACUCAAAUGAAUUGACGGGGUCUCGCACAAGCGGUGGAGCGUGUUGUUUAAUUCGAUGGUAAACGUAGAACCUUACCAAGGUUUGACAUCCUGGGAAGGUCUCCGAAAGGAGACUGUGCCUUCGGGAAUCCAGUGACAGGUGUUGCAUGGCCGUCUUCAGCUCGUGUCGUGAGAUGUUAGGUUAAGUCCUUCAACGAGCGCAACCCUUUUAGUUAGUUGAAUUUCUCUAGCUAGACUGCCCUGGUAACAGGGAGGAAGGAGGGGAUGAUGUCAGGUCAGUAUUACCCUUACACCUUGGGCCACAAACACGCUACAAUGGCCGGUACAAAGGGCUGCCAAGCAGCAAUGCGGAGCAAAUCCCAUCAAAGCCGGUCCCAGUUCGGAUUGUAGGCUGAAACUCGCCUGCAUGAAGCCGGAAUCGCUAGUAACGGUAGGUCAGCUAUACUACCGUGAAUACGUUCCCGAGACUUGUACACACCGCCCGU
rnacentral:rRNA from 1 species